rnacentral:rRNA from 1 species
GAAUCUGCCUAUUAAUGGGGGACAACAUCUCGAAAGGGAUGCUAAUACCGCAUACGCCCUACGGGGGAAAACAGGGGAUCACUUGUGACCUUGCGUUAAUAGAUGAGCCUAAGUCGGAUUAGCUAGUUGGUGGGGUAAAGGCCUACCAAGGCGACGAUCUGUAGCGGGUCUGAGAGGAUGAUCCGCCACACUGGGACUGAGACACGGCCCAGACUCCUACGGGAGGCAGCAGUGGGGAAUAUUGGACAAUGGGGGGAACCCGGAUCCAGCCAUGCCGCGUGUGUGAAGAAGGCCUUAUGGUUGUAAAGCACUUUAAGCGAGGAGGAGGCUCUUUUGGUUAAUACCCAAGAUGAGUGGACGUUACUCGCAGAAUAAGCACCGGCUAACUCUGUGCCAGCAGCCGCGGUAAUACAGAGGGUGCGAGCGUUAAUCGGAUUUACUGGGCGUAAAGCGUGCGUAGGCGGCUUUUUAAGUCGGAUGUGAAAUCCCCGAGCUUAACUUGGGAAUUGCAUUCGAUACUGGGAAGCUAGAGUAUGGGAGAGGAUGGUAGAAUUCCAGGUGUAGCGGUGAAAUGCGUAGAGAUCUGGAGGAAUACCGAUGGCGAAGGCAGCCAUCUGGCCUAAUACUGACGCUGAGGUACGAAAGCAUGGGGAGCAAACAGGAUUAGAUACCCUGGUAGUCCAUGCCGUAAACGAUGUCUACUAGCCGUUGGGGUCUUUGAGACUUUAGUGGCGCAGCUAACGCGAUAAGAAGACCGCCUGGGGAGUACGGUCGCAAGACUAAAACUCAAAUGAAUUGACGGGGGCCCGCACAAGCGGUGGAGCAUGUGGUUUAAUUCGAUGCAACGCGAAGAACCUUAACUGGUCUUGACAUAGUAAGAACUUUCCAGAGAUGGAUUGGUGCCUUCGGGAACUUACAUACAGGUGCUGCAUGGCUGUCGUCAGCUCGUGUCGUGAGAUGUUGGGUUAAGUCCCGCAACGAGCGCAACCCUUUUCCUUACUUGCCAGCAUUUCGGAUGGGAACUUUAAGGAUACUGCCAGUGACAAACUGGAGGAAGGCGGGGACGACGUCAAGUCAUCAUGGCCCUUACGACCAGGGCUACACACGUGCUACAAUGGUCGGUACAAAGGGUUCCUACCUAGCGAUAGGAUGCUAAUCUCAAAAAGCCGAUCGUAGUCCGGAUUGGAGUCUGCAACUCGACUCCAUGAA